rnacentral:rRNA from 1 species
CCUACGGGAGGCAGCAGUGGGGAAUAUUGCACAAUGGGCGAAAGCCUGAUGCAGCAAAGCCGCGUGAAGGAAGAAGGGUUUCGGCUCGUUAACUUCUAUCAAUAGGGACGUAAGAAAUGACGGUACCUGAAUAAGAAGCCCCGGCUAACGACGUGCCAGCAGCCGCGGUAAUACGUAGGGGGCAAGCGUUAUCCGGAAUUACUGGGUUUAACGGGUGAGUAGGCGGCAUGGUAAGCCAGAUGUGAAAGCCUUGGGCUUAACCCGAGGAUUGCAGUUGGAACUGGCAAGCUAGAGUACAGGAGAGGAAGGCGGAAUUCCUAGUGUAGCGGUGAAAUGCGUAGAUAUUAGGAAGAACACCAGUGGCGAAGGCGGCUUUCUGGAGUGAAACUGACGCUGAGGCACGAAAGCGUGGGGAGCGAACAGGAUUAGAUACACCUGUAGUC